CAGANCCUUACCAACACUUGACAUGUUCGUCGUGACUCUAAGAGAUUGGAGUCUUCGGUUCGGCCGGACGAAACACAGGUGCUGCAUGGCUGUCGUCGGCUCGUGUCGUGAGAUGUUGGGUUAAGUCCCGCAACGAGCGCAACCCUCACUUUUAGUUGCCAUCAUUUAGUUGGGCACUCUGAAAGAACUGCCAGUGAUAAGCUGGAGGAAGGUGGGGAUGACGUCAAGUCCUCAUGGCCCUUAUGUGUUGGGCUACACACGUGCUACAAGGCAUUGACAAUAGGAAGCAAGAUGGCGACGUCAAGCAAAUCCUAAAAAGAUGCCUCAGUUCGGAUUGUACUCUGCAACUCGAGUACAUGAAGCUGGAAUUACUAGUAAUCGCGGAUCAGCGCGCCGCGGUGAAUACGUUCCCAGGUCUUGUACACACCGCCCGUCACACCAUGGGAGUUGGUUCUACCUUAAGGCAAAGCUUAAAACCUUUGAUCACGGUAUAAUCAGCGACUGGGGUGAAGUCGUAACAAGGUA
rnacentral:rRNA from 1 species